rnacentral:lncRNA from 1 species
UAGAAGUCAGGUCGGAUUAAGCCAUAGUACGGAAAAAACUAUGCUACCUGUGAGCCCCGUCCAAGGACGUUAAAAGAAGUCAGGCCAUUACAAAUGCCACAGCUCGAGUAAACUGUGCAGCCUGUAGCUCCACCUGAGAAGGUGUAAAAAAUCUGGGAGGCCACAAACCAUGGAAGCUGUACGCAUGGCGUAGUGGACUAGCGGUUAGAGGAGACCCCUCCCUUACAAAUCGCAGCAACAAUGGGGG